AGAGUUGUUUGCUAAGAUCAAACUCACCAGUUUGGGAGCACGUUUUUCAAGCUCCCUUCUGAUUCUUCCUUUCUGUGGGGUUUUAAUUUUCCAUGGGGUUUUACUUCUCAUCAUCCUAACCUAAAAAUAAAUUGAAAACUAAACUAAUAUUAUUGUGGUUAAAGCAAUUUUCAACUAUCAUAACAACUACUACAAUGGCUUAAUCACAAAUUAGCUGGAACCCUAGAAACAAAAAAUAGCAAGAGAACAGUAUGAAUUUAAGCUUUCACUUACCAAUAGAGGAACAGAGAAGAUAUGAAGAAUUGGUGAAGGGAAGAUACGAAGAAGAAAGGGAAGAUACAACUAUGCCUAUUCAAAUAUUAGGGUUAUUAGCAGGGGUGGGCAUCCGGUACUUCAGUUCGGUAUUUAAGAAUUUCGGUUCGGUAUUCGGUUUAUCAAUUGUGUAUACCAAAUACCGUACCAAAGUAUUUCGGUACGGUACGGUAUUUCUUAUUUUGGUUCGGUAUGGUUUCGGUACGGUUUAAUACAUAUUCAUGUGCCACGUACUGCUAAGCGCUGAGAGCAUAAGCAUUAACCAAGCAGAAACAACCACUAACGAGUAACGAGUAAACAAUCAGCCAUUCCCCAUUCUGCCUAACUAAAUAAACAAUCUGCUAUUCUGCCUAACAAAUAAACAAUCUGCCAUGUGUUAAUCUAAACAUAAGUGGAACUGUAAUACAAUGCAACAAAAACAGAAUUCCAGUAGCAACCAUAAGUGGAUUUGAGACAGUUGCUUAAACACAGUGCAUUUGAGACAGUUGCUUAAACACAGUGCAACAAAAAUAGAAGUCCAGUAGCAACCACUAACGAGUAGCCCUUCAACAUUAUUACAUCAACAUUAUUACAACAAGCCCUUCAACAUUAUUACAUCAAAAUGUUUUCUUUUCUCCCUGAUUUUAAUAAGAUUUGUGAUAUGGUGGUAUGGAAAUAACAAGUUGUAUAAUAGGAUCGUAUAUCACUAACGGAUACUGAUCCGAAAUUCAGUAAAACCGAACUUUUGAUUACAUUCACUGCUUUUUAAAUUGUGUCAAAGGACGUGUCACUGAUUAUGAAUUAAAUAUACAUUUGUCAAAAUAUCUUUAACCAUAUACAUAAUUAAGAUGAAAAAUAAAUGUUGAUGGCAUAUAUCAUCUUUGUGUCUGGUCACAACCACCUUCUUUUUAACUUCUUAUGCACAAACAAAAUAUAUUAUUAUAUACAAAACAGCCUAAGGAUGAGGUUGGCUUAGACAUAAUCAUGAUUUAAAGGUAUGAAUUGCAAUCUAUAAUGCCUAAAUUAAAGUGGCGAGUAAACAUAUUCCUGUUAAUUAGGUUAGUAAAAUUUUCUUCAACUGAACACAACUGAAUGAAGAAUGGAGAAGUUAUCAACCUGAAUGAAGUUGCGGCGCCGAGGUUGUAGUCGUGAGUUGUAACUCGUGAAUCCGACCGCCGUAGCUACCAAGCAAAGUCGUGAGGGUUUUUUAAAAUUCUUGUCGAGACUAAGCCUCUAAGCCUAAGGGUACGCGAUUAUGGAAUUAGGGGUUUUGGACUUUUGGGGUACGAGCUUAAGGUUAUUGGGCUAAAAAAUAAAAAUAAAAUUGGGCUAUUUCAUUAUUUCGGUGUAUACUGAAAUAUUAAUAACCCAAUACCGUAUACCGUAUCGAAUUACCAAAAUAUCAUAAUUUCUGUAUCGAAAUAAACCGAAAUAUCAAAAAAAUCGAAACCGAAAUACCAAAUUAAUUCAAUUCAAUUCGGAAUUCG
rnacentral:lncRNA from 1 species